rnacentral:misc_RNA from 1 species
GUGAAUCAUCAAAUUUUUGAACGCAAAUUGCGCCUUCUUCGGAAGGCAUGACUGUUUGAGGGCACCAUUUAACAAAUAAUGUGCAUGCUGUGUGUAUUUUUACGCACACGUGCACACGUUGAUGAGCUUUUCCAAAAAAAGCAAUUGUUUUGGUGGCACGUAAUGGACAGUGUGCGCUUUCCUCUAAUUUUUCCGAGUGUAGUAAAAUUUUUUUUUCGACGCUUGUGUUGUUGGACAU